GGUGGGGAGGGGAGGUGAGGGGCACUGGGUAAACACAGCCGAAAUGACAGCAGCAGUCCUCAUCACAGAGCGUUAGCAAUUCUAACAGCCACGUCAGGCGGAGAAUCUGAAAGACAGAUGUAACACGAGCAAAGGAAGAAUGUGGCAGUUUGCAAACAGCGAGUUGCGUGGUGUUUUUGAAGGUGUGUUCAUUCUUGAAGCACCUCGAAAGAAAUGCAAAUGAAAUGUAUGGUGGGCAGGUCUACGUGCAAGCAAGGCCUGUUGGAGCUUCACGUUGGAGAUGUAGAAACUUCUUUGUCUCAUAGAAAGAGAUAACAAGGCUUUUUGAAAGUGUGAGCAAAGCAUUGGAGGCCUGUUUUUGCCUGAAAGCAUAGUGGGAUAGAUCAUGGAGUCUGAGGAGCAGGGAGUCGUGUGCUGUUCUAUUAAUAAAAGCAGAAGGAAGUAACAGAACAGAAGCAGUGGAGCAAAUCCAAAAGCCAGUGCCCCACCAAACGGGCAAAAAGCCUCACCAAACAAAAAGCUGAUGAAUUUCCGAGGUAGAAUUUGCUGGCAGACAGACUGGGCUGAUGUUUCCUAAAGCAACCAGUGUAAUCCCUCCACUCUGCUAAGGCAAUGCCAAACAAAAGAAACCUGCUCAACGUUUUCUAUUAGCCUGAAAUUUUGCUGUAGAGAAAAUGAUAACACAGAAGGAAUUUCCUUGGGAAAGAAAAGAGAAAAGGGCGCUGUGGAAUUAUUUUAGUUCAGGCGACUGCAAUGCUAAAAAUGAAUUCUGGGGCAGGACAAUAAACUCAUACACGAAUACUAAUUCUGCUUCCAAUUAUCCAAGGAGUUCAGUCACUGAAGCCCAUUCACAGUCUGUGUGGUUCCCCAGGCUCAGAGGGAUGCUCCAAAAAACUUUGAAAAUCCCAAUCUAAACACGUCUGUGUCCAACUUUCUAAAGAUCCUCCUGUGGGGCUGCAAAGAAUAAGUAAUUUCUAUCUGUAACACGUUAUGAAGUCCUCAGGAAGUAGACACCAGGGCAGUGUAAAAUGGUUAUUUUAGCAGUAUCUUCUCUUACAAUUGCUUGUUCUCCAUCUCCACGGAGGGCGGCUGGCAGCACAGUGCUGCAGUGAUUUAAGCCCACCAGGCUGCGGUGUUGGCUCUUGUGCAGUGCCUGAGCCCCGUGCAGGACUUGGCCAUAAACUGCACAGCCCAAGGAAGAUGUUGCUUGUUUUCCAGGACAGGAUGAAAUCACCCCGUGCAUGUCCUCUGUCUAUUGCCUCUCCGGGCAGGGAAAACAUAAAUGCCUUUCCCAUCAUUUUAUUUAUUGCCUUUCUGUGUUUCCUGGGAAAAGCCUAUUUUUAUUUUUUUAGCACUUGUGUGUGUGUGAGUCUAUGUGGGGUAAGCGUGUGUGUGUGCGUGUUUAGGAGGUUAAAAAAAAUUUCUUGCUGUCAGCAAGUGAUGUUACAAACCUGCUCUGACAAGGCUGGUUGUAUAUUUACAGUUGGUGAGAGCGAAGGCUUCAUCAAUCUUCACGCUUUGAAAGGGACAGGCCCGCUCCCAUGAGCACCUGCUCCGGGAGAACAGCUGAACUGUGACUUUCCAGGGAGCUGGCUGUAAAUUUUAGCCAUUCCCCCCACAGCCCACGCAUGCUUGAGCUCUUUAACCUUCCCAGGCUGGCAGGAGUCCCAGCAAUCAGUUUAGUGCAAAGACUGGGGUUCUUUUUAAUUAACCUUUUGUUUCCCGCUGCAGGUGUUUCCAAGUUUCUUCACGUUAAAAAGGAAGAGGAAAAAAACUGUUUGCAGAGGUGCAUCCACUCUCUUCCACUCGUGCUAUGCUCGGUGAUCAAAUGGGACCGGUCUUUCUCAUCUUUCUGCUCCUCAUUUGCCUCCUGCAUUUCUGCCACCCUUUGAAUUCUCCCUCUUAAGUGGUGUGUUGCCUUCCUGGGAGCUCCUGCAGCCCUGCCUGUGUGAACAAGGAUGUGAUAAUACUGGGUCCUGAAGCUGCAAAUGCAGAACGAACCAAGGAGUAAAAGAGUUGACAAGACAAGCAGUGGUGGGAAAUGGAGGGAAGACAGUGAAAAAGGAAAGCCGCCUGCCCUUCUACAGCAGAGGAACGCGGCAGCCUGGAUCCACUUUUGCACACACAAACCCCACCCUGUUGGAUGAAACCCCUCACAAAGUGCCAUCAGGUGAUGGCCACGACGGGGUUAUGUGGGGGCCUUCAUCAGAGCUCAGCUGGGGGUCUGCAAUAUAAAGAGGGGAUGAGGAGGGAGGUUCUCCAGCACAGCAGAGCUCCUGCUGCCUGAGGGCUGCCCGGCCCGCGUCAGACCUCAAACAGAAGGAAGCGAGGAAAAGACGACGGAACGCAUCCCCUCGGAAGCAGGGCAUGCUCGCUGCAGGGCUGCUCCCCGACGGCCGC